AGCAGCCGCGGUAAUUCCAGCUCCAAUAGCGUAUAUUAAAGUUGUUGCAGUUAAAAAGCUCGUAGUUGAAUUUCGGAAUCAAUUUGUUGGUCGUGCCUCGGUACGUACUGGUAUUAUUGGUUUCUACCUUCUGAAGAACCUUGAUGUCAUUAAUUUGGUGUCUUGGGGAAUCAGGACUGUUACUUUGAAAAAAUUAGAGUGUUUAAAGCAAGCAUACGCUUGAAUACAUUAGCAUGGAAUAAUGAAAUAGGACGUUUGAUUCUAUUUUGUUGGUUUCUAGGAUCGACGUAAUGAUUAAUAGGGAUAGUUGGGGGCAUUAGUAUUCAAUUGUCAGAGGUGAAAUUCUUGGAUUUAUUGAAGACUAACUACUGCGAAAGCAUUUGCCAAGGAUGUUUUCAUUAAUCAAGAACGAAAGUUAGGGGAUCGAAGACGAUCAGAUACCGUCGUAGUCUUAACCAUAAACUAUGCCGACUAGGGAUCGGAUGAUGUUAAUUUUUUAAUGACUCA
rnacentral:rRNA from 1 species